rnacentral:lncRNA from 1 species
GUAUAGUAUGGAGGGGAGAGGGGUAUUAAGCUGAAAAGAGAUUAAACUUGGCUUGGUUGGUUCUCCAUCACAAUGGUGCUUAACCAUAUUUUCCAAACUAAAAAUCAGGACGCAUGAUUGGACAGUGAAAUUUAUGCACAGACUUAUUGUAUAGAACAAAUGUUAUUUUCUCAAAAUCAGUCCUGUUCCAGUAAAUCUGGGCUAGAUGGCGACUGUGGGGUGGACUAUAUGACAGCCAACACAAUCAGAAGACCUGGUUCAAGUUCCCCUUCUGACACACCAAGGGCAAGUUCCUUACCCUCUCAAGGUUCCAAUGCAGAGCCACACUGGGAGAUGGAUUUCCUCAGUGGAAGUCCUCUAGACCACUGUGACAUCAGAGGUCCAGUACCUUCUCUAGCAACAACAACAACAAAAUGGAGACUAGUACCUGGGUUGGAUGAAACUAAAAUUCAGGAGUACCGUAUUACUUGCUCAGGAUCACACAGUUUGUUCCUGAAUUGAAGAAUACAGGACGACAAUCAAGAUCGACAGCAGACAAGAGUGGCAUGCUGACCAGAUGACCAGAGUUUCUCCAAUCAACAUCAAAGGACAUGGAAGGACUUUGAAAGUUUGGACUUGUGAUCCUGAGGUUAUGUAAGAAUGCGACAUACAUAUUAACAUCACAUAUAUAUAUAUAUAUAUAUAUAUACACAUUCUACAAAGGAAGAUAUCUCAUGGAAUGGAAUUAAAUUUGACUACUUCCCUACUGAGGAACCUCUUUCUUCUUUCAAAGUGGAUGGCAGUGAGGGGAGAGGAACCAUCAAAGGGAUAUUCAAUUCUGGAUCUAAUUCUCACCAGAAAAGGAAGCACUGAACAAACUGUCUCGGGCUAUCCUUGCGAAAAAGAUGGAGAGAUGCCAAUGGGAUCACAAUGCAAAGAAGUAGAGUCAGCAUGGGCUGCAUGGCAGGACCCAAACAUUAAUCACGAAUAUUCAAUGCCACCUUGGAGAGAGAUCUUCCAUGCAGGGGAAUCUUUCUCAGUGCUGAGUGAACUUCAAAGAACACACCAUCAAGCAAAUGAUUUCAUGUGGGUCUGCUUUCCUCCUUGUCACAUUUCAGCCAGGACAGCUCAUAGCCAGGAAUCUUCUGCAACAUAGCCAAAGUGGAAAUGAAAUUUAAAAAGACUAGAUAACGAACGGACAAGUUAGUUCAUCUGAAACAAUUGGAGUUUUUAGUAUAUUGUAGCCUCAGUGCAGGUCAUCAGUGUCUUAUGAUGGCUAAGACAGUAAACUUGGUGUUCGGACAUGGUAUUCAGAAAGAAGCCAGUAAUAACUGUUUUAAAGGAUUUGAAUAGUUGUCCCAUGGAAGGUAAUGGAUAACAUGGAGUGAGUGUGUGAAGAACUAGUCUGGAAGCAAGGAAGAUGUGGGUUGAAAUUCUCCUUUUGGCCCCUAAUGACAAAUCACUAAACUUCUCAGUGGUUUAAGUGUUUCUUAAGACUGUAAGUUGCAGGGAAUGUGCUAACCUGCAUUGAUAGAAGAAGGUUCCGUUCUUUUGAACUACAACAGUGCAUGAGCUGCCUUCCGCCAGGUAGAGGGAGAGAGGAAUAGAAAUCUAGGAAGAGAAAUAGAAAGUGGGAGAGAAAGGAGGAAGACCAACUUUGCCUACUUCAAAAUUUUGCUCAGGCAUGCCAUUGAAAUGGGCUUUUAUCUAAGGCUCAUUGAAUUAGCUCUUAAAAUUUAUUAGGAAAUAUUCCAAGGGUGUGGUGUGUGUGUAUGUGUAUAUAUUUACUAAAACAAUAAAAUACUUCAUUUUCCUAACU